CCCUUAGAUGUUCUGGGCCGCACGCGCGCUACACUGAUGAAUUCAGCGAGCACUAACCUGUGCCGAAAGGUUCGGGUAAUCUUGUGAAAUUUCAUCGUGAUGGGGAUUGAUUAUUGCAAUUUUUAAUCAUAAACGAGGAAUGCCUAGUAAGCGUGAGUCAUCAGCUCACGUUGAUUACGUCCCUGCCCUUUGUACACACCGCCCGUCGCUCCUACCGAUUGAAUGUGCCAGUGAAAAGUUCGGAUUGGAGAUAGGAAACGGCAACGUAUCCUAUUUCCGAGAAAAUCUUUAAACUUUCCCAUUUAGAGGAAGGAGAAGUCGUAACA
rnacentral:rRNA from 1 species